rnacentral:rRNA from 1 species
UACAGAGGGGGCAAGCGUUGUUCGGAAUUACUGGGCGUAAAGGGCGCGUAGGCGGCCUGUUAAGUCGGACGUGAAAUCCCUCGGCUCAACCGGGGAACUGCGUCCGAUACUGGCGGGCUUGAAUUCGGGAGAGGGAUGUGGAAUUCCAGGUGUAGCGGUGAAAUGCGUAGAUAUCAAGAGGAACACCUGCGGCGAAGGCGGGUUGCUGGGCCGACACUGACGCUGAGGCGCGAAAGCCAGGGGAGCGAACGGG